GGAUGUGAGGGUGAUCUGGCUGCAACAUCUCUCACCCCCACCGAUCAAAAAGCUUGAUUCUGCCCGAUCUGGCUGGCUAAGCGGGUGUCCCCUUCCUCCCUCACCGCUCCAUGUGCGUCCCUCUUGAAGCUGCGCACUUGGACCAAGAGGACGGCUUUCCCCAAAUAGAGACGGACUGGUCUUCUGUCGAAGGUAUGGGAGUAGCUGUGCUCCCCUGCUAGAACCUCCAAACAAGCUCUCAAGAAAUGUUUUCAGUCUUUCCUUUUUCAUUCUGUGACCUUCAUUUCAAUGUACAACACCAUAUUUUUGAUAACCAAUGAGGUGAUACCA
rnacentral:snRNA from 1 species